AAAAACUUAGUUAAAAAAUAACAUUAGCCUGUCAAACUAAAAUUACAAAAAUAUGUAGUUUUUA
rnacentral:tRNA from 1 species